rnacentral:rRNA from 1 species
GAUGACCUCUGGCGGCGUGCUUAACACAUGCAAGUCGAGCGAAGCGAUUUAAGUGAAGUUUUCGGAUGGAUCUUAAAUUGACUGAGCGGCGGACGGGUGAGUAACGCGUGGAUAACCUGCCUCACACGGGGGGAUAACAGUUAGAAAUGACUGCUAAUACCGCAUAAGCGCACGGUGCCGCAUGGUACAGUGUGAAAAACUCCGGUGGUGUGAGAUGGAUCCGCGUCUGAUUAGGUAGUUGGUGAGGUAACGGCCCACCAAGCCGACGAUCAGUAGCCGACCUGAGAGGGUGACCGGCCACAUUGGGACUGAGACACGGCCCAAACUCCUACGGGAGGCAGCAGUGGGGAAUAUUGCACAACGGGCGAAAGCCUGAUGCAGCAACGCCGCGUGAGUGAAGAAGUAUCUCGGUAUGUAAAGCUCUAUCAGCAGGGAAGAAAAUGACGGUACCUGACUAAGAAGCCCCGGCUAACUACGUGCCAGCAGCCGCGGUAAUACGUAGGGGGCAAGCGUUAUCCGGAUUUACUGGGUGUAAAGGGAGCGCAGACGGCACUGCAAGUCUGAAGUGAAAGCCCGGGGCUCAACCCCGGGACUGCUUUGGAAACUGUAGAGCUAGAGUGCUGGAGAGGCAAGCGGAAUUCCUAGUGUAGCGGUGAAAUGCGUAGAUAUUAGGAAGAACACCAGUGGCGAAGGCGGCUUGCUGGACAGUAACUGACGUUCAGGCUCGAAAGCGUGGGGAGCAAACAGGAUUAGAUACCCUGGUAGUCCACGCCGUAAA